CUAAUACUUUAGACUCCUAGCGUUAUAUGAUUUUUGUGUUUAGUUGCAAGUUCAAGGUUGUAGGAUAUACGUUUAGGUUUAGACAACAUUUUGUUAGAAACGUGAAAGACAAAAUGAGUUGUGAAAGUGAUAGAGAAGGUAGUGAUGAUCAACAAGAAAAUGUCUCUCACAAUUCAAGAGAGAAGAGUGCAUCCUCACAUGGCUCAUCAAAGCAAAGGGUACGGAAAAAAUCAAUGUCACGAAGUCGUACACCACAUUCACACUCAAGAUCCAGAUCGUACUCAAAAUCAAGAAGUCGUUCACGUUCUCGAAGACAUCAUCGCAAUAAGAAAUCAAGGUCAAAGUCCCGAACACCAAAAAGGAGAUAUUCAAAAAGCAGGAGGAGCCACAGCAAAUCUCCUGUAUCAAGUCGACGAAGAUAUCUUGGAAGUCGGGAGAAUCCAGAACCUUGCCGAUGUAUUGGUGUAUUUGGGUUGAGUCUCUACACAAAGGAAAGGGAUUUGAAAGAAGUUUUCUCCAAGUAUGGUACAGUGGAAAAUAUUCAAAUUGUCUAUGAUCGACAGAGUGGUAGAUCUCGUGGAUUUGCUUUUGUAUAUUUUGACUCCAUUGAAGAUGCUGAAGAAGCCAAAGAAAGAUGCAAUGGGCUAGAAAUUGAUGGACGGAAAAUUAGAGUGGACUACUCUGUUACAAAGAGAGCACAUACCCCAACCCCAGGAAUAUACAUGGGUAAACCUAACUUUCCGAAAUAUGGUGGUAACUACAGAGGACGCUCUCCAUCAUCAAACUAUCAUGGCCGCAGAUAUUCACGUUCGAGGUCCCGUUCAUACUCACCUCGGCUUGAAGAAAGAAAUAAAAGGAUGAAGAAUUAAGAAGCGAAGAAUUUAAUUGCUUUGCGAAGAUGGCGAAAAUAAUUUGUAUAGCAAGAUUAGAAGUGGGGUUAGUUAAUGAAGAGAAAACAAGAAGGGGUCAGAAUAAGAAUAACGGAGUUCUCAUCUGUGGAAAGUUCAGGUGUGAAGAAAAGCACACAGUUAAUCAGAAUGUGAAGAGAAGUUGGAGAGUAAUAGAAGAAAAUUUUAGUGAAAUUUUGUCAUGAAGAGAAUGAAUAAUGAAGGCUCAGUUGAUGUUUGUACAAGGAUUACUGUUUUCCACUGAAAGAUGAUAGUGUCUUUAUUGCAAGCCAAUGGAACAUUAAACAGCAGUUGAAGUAAUACUGGAGAGCAUAGUAAUUCUUUGGACACUUCUCUUGAGUCAAUCACCUUACACUAAGGAAUAAGACUGGGCAGGCUGAUAAAAAUAUAUUCUAAAGAAUCUUGCACUGAAAAGCCAAUACAUGCAACUUUGAAUUAGCAAUCAAGAUGGCAUCCAUGCAACCAAGCAUACAGCUGGAACUUGUGAUUCACUAUUGUAUAAUUUUUUAGACGACUUCAUACUCAAAUAUUUUUCUGUCAAGUCAAACAAAUUACUGGUGUUUGAAAGAUGAUGGUAGCUGUUGCAAGUUUUUCAAAGAGGAAAAUACCAGCUUCAAUCAAUAGUAAAAUUCAAAUGUGAUAUAUGCUAUGAAAUACAGUUUCUAACAACAGAUCGUGUAGCCAAAACAUGUAAUCAUCAAAGAAAAUUUAAAUGCUCACUGUAUGAUGAUGCUGCUGUUGUAUGAUGAAUGAUAGCACUGGUGGUGGUUAAUCAAGCUUGAAGUAAUACUUUCUCUACUGUAUGUACCAGUGAUGGGCUCAAAUUAUAUUUUCUAAAG
rnacentral:misc_RNA from 1 species